CUACGGGUGGCUGCAGUGGGGAAUCUUAGACAAUGGGGGAAACCCUGAUCUAGCCAUGCCGCGUGAUCGAUGAAGGCCUUAGGGUUGUAAAGAUCUUUCAGGUGGGAAGAUAAUGACUGUACCACCAGAAGAAGCCCCGGCUAACUCCGUGCCAGCAGCCGCGGUAAUACGGAGGGGGCUAGCGUUAUUCGGAAUUACUGGGCGUAAAGCGCACGUAGGCGGACCAGAAAGUCAGAGGUGAAAGCCCGGGGCUCAACCCCGGAACUGCCUUUGAAACUCCUGGUCUUGAGGUCGAGAGGGGGGAGUGGAAUUCCGGGUGUAGAGGUGAAAUUCGUAGAUAUUCGGAGGAACACCAGUGGCGAAGGCGGCUCACUGGCUCGAUACUGACGCUGAGGUGCGAAAGCGUGGGGAGCAAACAGGAUUAGAUACCCUCGUAGUC
rnacentral:rRNA from 1 species